CUUCACUUCUCUAAACAGUUGAGAGGUUUCGAAUUUGUGAAAGCUGUCACCUUGGUGGUCGAGUCAUUUACGUCAGAGAACGGCUUGCUAACUCCAACAUUUAAGAUAAAGGGGCCCCAAUCAAAGGCUUACUUCGCCAAAGCAGUAUCCGACAUAUAUACCGAGCUUUCAACAUCUGUUCUGACACUACAGAGGAUGUUAUGACCAGAACCUGGAAUGCUCCAAAGUACGUAAGCCUCCACUGCUAGUGGAUUUUCAUUGUCUAGUUUGUAACGGCCUAAUGUGCAAUGACUUCCUCUUAUUGUUGUGCAUUUUCCUUGAAAAUAUUUGAUUCAUUCAUUCAAUUUUCUGCUCCAGAAAUUGAAAUGUCGUGAAAUAAUUUAUCGGCGCAACCAAUAUCUCAUGGAGAAGUAUCGUUACCUUAGCACAAUAAAGAACACAGUAAGAUGUAGCAAAUUAUCUGCCAGCUUAGAGAGACAUAACUGUUACUUGCAAGUUGUAGCUGUCAGUGAAGUAAAAGAGUCCUGGCAUGGAAAUGGCUUGCGCAGGCCGACAUGCUUAUCAAGACAAGUUGGUCGUGGCAAGGUUCAUCUUUUAUUUCUAUGCUGUCAUAUACUGAAAAGUUUGUAAGACAAAAAUAAAAAAUUUCACCUAAAAGAGUGGAUUUGAUAUGAGAGGUAAAGGUUCAGGGACAGAAUAUGUUAUCCUAUUUCAGGGAUAUGGUUGUAUAAAAUAAUGAUGAAUUUUUUCUUUUACAAUGGACCGCUGUCCUUGGGGAUAUUGAUUAAUGAUUUGUAACAUUUUCUUGUAGGCUUAAAAAAAGGUUCUUUCUUAUA